rnacentral:lncRNA from 1 species
AGGGAUACUGGAGUGAUGGAGGUAGAUAUGUAUAGGGGGAAGGUGACAGGGAUACUGGAGUGAUGGAGGUAGAUAUGUAUAGGAGACAGGGAUACUGGAGUGAUGGAGGUAGAUAUGUAUAGGGGGAAGGAGACAGGGAUACUGGAGUGAUGGAGGUAGAUAUGUAUAGGGGACAGGGAUACUGGAGUGAUGGAGGUAGAUAUGUAUAGGGGGAAGGGGACAGGGAUACUGGAGUGAUGGAGGUAGAUAUGUAUAGGGGGAAGGAGACAGGGAUACUGGAGUGAUGGAG